ACGCUCGACACCUACGGGAGGCAGCAGUAGGGAAUCUUCCACAAUGGACGCAAGUCUGAUGGAGCAACGCCGCGUGAGUGAAGAAGGUCUUCGGAUCGUAAAACUCUGUUGUUAGAGAAGAACACGAGUGAGAGUAACUGUUCAUUCGAUGGCGGUAUCUAACCAGCAAGUCACGGCUAACUACGUGUCAGCAGCCGCGGUAAUCUGAGCGGGCUGGCAAGGC
rnacentral:rRNA from 1 species